CCCCGGAGUUAUAUACAAGUACGCCCCCUGUGCAGGAUGCAAGUCUGUGGCAUGGCAGUUCUGGCUGGGACAAGGUUUAACGUGAGUCAACGUGACUCCAAAAUGACAGGUGUAUGGCACAGAAAAAAUGUCCCUCAACUCCAAUUAUGUGUCAAGCCCUUCACAUUUCCCUCCCUACCUCCCUUUCUCACCUGCAGGGAACCCGUCCCAGAUCUCCAGCCAGUCGUAGCGACACAGUGCCCCGGGUGGAGGGGUGGUGUCAGGUUCCAUGUCGAACGCGUCGAAGUCCACCACGAUCUCGG